CACAUGGGAUGCUGCCCUCUACCUUGCAGAAUGGGCCAUCGAGAACCCGGCAGCCUUCACUCACAGGUGACCUCGGGGCGCAGGGCAGGGCACCGAGGCAGGCUUACCCCGGUGCAGUCACAGACACGGCCCCCUUUCCUCCCGCCAGGACUAUCUUAGAGCUUGGCAGUGGUGCCGGCCUCACAGGCCUGGCCAUCUGCAAGCUGUGCCGCUCCCGGGCAUACAUCUUCAGCGACUGUCACAGCUGGGUCCUCAAGCAGCUCCAAGGGAAUGCCCUUCUCAAUGGCCUCUCAUUAGAGGCAGACAUCACUGCCAACUUAGCCCUAGGGUGACAAUGGCCCAGCUGGACUGGGAUGUCACGAUGGUCAAUCAGCUCUCUGCCUUCUAGCCAGAUGUUGUCAUUGCAGCAGACGUGCUGUAUUGCCCAGAAGCCAUCGUGUCGCUUGUCGGGGUCCUGCGGAGGCUGGCUGCCGGGAGCACCAGCGGGCUCCUGAGGUCUAUGUGGCCUUCACUGUCCGCAACCCAGAGACGUGCCAGCUGUUCACCACCGAGCUGGGCCGAGUCGGGAUCAGGUGGGAAGCGGAAGCUCAUCAUGACCAGAAACUGUUUCCCUACAAAGAGCACUUGGAGAUGGCAAUGCUGAGCCUCACACUGUAGGACUCACACACGCCUCCAACGUGAUUGUGAGAAUCAAGUCACUCUCGUGGGAAGAAUUUUUAUAUGGGAAAGUGGAUAAAACUUUCAUUGGACUGGAAUGUUGAAAGAAUGUUAAAUUCCAAAUCAGGAACCACAAACUGCCCUCUAAUAAGACAUCGGCUAUCUAAGCGUGUGGGUGCCCCCUUUCUGCCAGCAGUUCUGGUUCUGAAGAAAAUCACCAUAAAUCAGACAUGAAAAUUCUGGCUCCAAAAAUAGCAUUUUCUUUGUGCAAAUAAAAACGUGUGUAUCAAGUA